rnacentral:rRNA from 1 species
AUUGAACGCUGGCGGCAGGCCUAACACAUGCAAGUCGAGCGGAUGACGGGAGCUUGCUCCUUGAUUCAGCGGCGGACGGGUGAGUAAUGCCUAGGAAUCUGCCUGGUAGUGGGGGACAACGUUUCGAAAGGAACGCUAAUACCGCAUACGUCCUACGGGCGAAAGCAGGGGACAUUCGGGCAUUGCGCGAUCAGAUGAGCCUAGGUCGGAUUAGCUAGUAGGUGAGGGAAUGGCUUACCUAGGCGACGAUCCGUAACUGGUCUGAGAGGAUGAUCAGUCACACUGGAACUGAGACACGGUCCAGACUCCUACGGGAGGCAGCAGUGGGGAAUAUUGGACAAUGGGCGAAAGCCUGAUCCAGCCAUGCCGCGUGUGUGAAGAAGGUCUUCGGAUUGUAAAGCACUUUAAGUUGGGAGGAAGGGCAGUAAGUUAAUACCUUGCUGUUUUGACGUUACCGACAGAAUAAGCACCGGCUAACUCUGUGCCAGCCGCCGCAGUAAAAC